rnacentral:rRNA from 1 species
CCUACGGGUGGCAGCAGUCGAGAAUCAUUCACAAUGGGGGAAACCCUGAUGGUGCGACGCCGCGUGGGGGAAUGAAGGUCUUCGGAUUGUAAACCCCUGUCAUGUGGGAGCAAAUUAAAAAGAUAGUACCACAAGAGGAAGAGACGGCUAACUCUGUGCCAGCAGCCGCGGUAAUACAGAGGUCUCAAGCGUUGUUCGGAAUCACUGGGCGUAAAGCGUGCGUAGGCUGUUUCGUAAGUCUUGUGUGAAAGGCGCGGGCUCAACCCGCGGACGGCACAUGAUACUGCGAGACUAGAGUAAGGGAGGGGGAACCGGAAUUCGCGGUGUAGCAGUGAAAUGCGUAGAUAUCGAGAGGAACACUCGUGGCGAAGGCGGGUUCCUGGACAUUAACUGACGCUGAGGCACGAAGGCCAGGGGAGCGAAAGGGAUUAGAUACCCGAGUAGUC